rnacentral:rRNA from 1 species
UACGUAGGUGACGAGCGUUAUCCGGAAUUAUUGGGCGUAAAGAGCUCGUAGGCGGUUUGUCGCGUCUGCCGUGAAAGUCCGGGGCUCAACUCCGGAUCUGCGGUGGGUACGGGCAGACUAGAGUGAUGUAGGGGAGACUGGAAUUCCUGGUGUAGCGGUGAAAUGCGCAGAUAUCAGGAGGAACACCGAUGGCGAAGGCAGGUCUCUGGGCAUUAACUGACGCUGAGGAGCGAAAGCAUGGGGAGCGAACAGG